CGCCCUUCCUACGGGAGGCAGCAGUGAGGAAUAUUGCUCAAUGGACGCAAGUCUGAACCAGCCAUGCCGCGUGCAGGAAGACGGUCCUAUGGAUUGUAAACUGCUUUUAUUCGAGAAUAAACCCCCUGUCGUGCAUAGGGGCGAAGUCCAANA
rnacentral:rRNA from 1 species